CCUACGGGAGGCAGCAGUGAGGAAUAUUGGUCAAUGGGCGGAAGCCUGAACCAGCCAAGUAGCGUGCAGGAUGACGGCCCUACGGGUUGUAACCUGCUUUUAUACGGGAAUAACGCGCCUUACGUGUAGGGCUUUGCAUGUACCGUAUGAAUAAGGACCGGCUAAUUACGUGCCAGCAGCCGCGGUCAUACGGAAGGUCAGGGCGUUAUCCGGAUUUAUUGGGUUUAACGGAGGCGUAGGCCGCAUGUCAAGCGUGCUGUGAAAUGUCCGGGCGCAACCCGGGCCUUGCAGCGCAAACUGGCGUGCUUGAGUCCGCGGAAAGCAGGCGGAAUUCGGGGUGUAGCGGUGAAAUGCUUAGAUAUGACGAAGAACCCCGAUUGCGAAGGCAGCUUGCUGCAGCGGAACUGACGCUGAUGCUCGAAAGCGCGGGUAUCGAACAGGAUUAGAUACCCCAGUAGUC
rnacentral:rRNA from 1 species